UACGUAGGGGGCGAGCGUUUGUCCGAAUUUACUGGGCGUAAAGAGCGCGUAGGCGGGUUCUUAAGUGAGAGGUGAAAGGUUCAGGGCUCAACCCGAACAGUGCCUUUCAUACUGGGAGCCUUGAGUGUGGGAGAGGCGAGUGGAAUUUCUGGUGUAGCGGUGAAAUGCGUAGAUAUCAGAAGGAACACCCAUGGCGAAGGCAGCUCGCUGGCCUACAACUGACGCUGAGGCGCGAAAGCGUGGGGAGCAAACAGG
rnacentral:rRNA from 1 species